UACGGAGGGCGCAAGCGUUGUUCGGAAUCACUGGGCGUAAAGCGCGUGUAGGCGGAUUGGUAAGUCAGGUGUGAAAUCCCGGGGCUCAACUCCGGAACUGCACUUGAAACUGCCUCGCUCGAGUCCCGGAGAGGUUGGUGGAAUUCCGGGUGUAGAGGUGAAAUUCGUAGAGAUCGGGAGGAACACCAGUGGCGAAGGCGGCUCCCUGGACGGUGACUGACGAUGAGGUGCGAAAGCGUGGGGAGCAAACAGG
rnacentral:rRNA from 1 species